GAUGAACGCUGGCGGCGUGCCUAAUACAUGCAAGUCGAGCGAACAGACGAGGAGCUUGCUCCUCUGACGUUAGCGGCGGACGGGUGAGUAACACGUGGAUAACCUACCUAUAAGACUGGGAUAACUUCGGGAAACCGGAGCUAAUACCGGAUAAUAUAUUGAACCGCAUGGUUCAAUAGUUAAAGACGGUUUUGCUGUCACUUAUAGAUGGAUCCGCGCCGCAUUAGCUAGUUGGUAAGGUAACGGCUUACCAAGGCAACGAUGCGUAGCCGACCUGAGAGGGUGAUCGGCCACACUGGAAAUGAGACACGGUCCAGACUCCUACGGGAGGCAGCAGUAGGGAAUCUUCCGCAAUGGGCGAAAGCCUGACGGAGCAACGCCGCGUGAGUGAUGAAGGUCUUCGGAUCGUAAAACUCUGUUAUUAGGGAAGAACAAAUGUGUAAGUAACUAUGCACGUCUUGACGGUACCUAAUCAGAAAGCCACGGCUAACUACGUG
rnacentral:rRNA from 1 species